AAGGCCAUGAUUUUUAGACAAGGGUCUUAAAAAUAUUCCUUAUAGAUGUGCUACAAAAAAUAUUUUUGACAUACACAACCCAGUAGUCCUUUCUUCUAUCAUUCAGUAGUUUUUAAAUCUGUAUCACUGAGGUGAGAGCAUUAGCAGAUCACUGCCCUCAGAAAUUGAAGUGCAAGGCAAGGAGAAAAGUAAAGCAUGGCACCCUAAAGGGAAAGAACAAGAGAAGGAAGGAUAUAAAAAGGUAUAGAAAUCAAAAGAAAAGUCAGGAAAAGAGAAGUGCUGGAAUAGAAAAACUGGAAUAGAAAAUAAGGCCACAGAAGAGAGAAAAGGUUGAAGGGACACAAAGAGGUGUAUAGAGAAAGUCAUUAUGUGCCUUUCCCCGAUUUACAAUAUAUUUUCUCCAGUUAUCUAUGACAUUAUUCUGUAUAUACCUGGUUAGAUGUUAACUCCUGCCUGAACCUAGUGUGGGUUAUUUUGGUAUUUCUUUAGAGACUACUCAGUUUUUCUCUCAUAACUUUUCUACUAAUAUCUCAUCUAUCUUCCUCACCUUCUUCACUUGACAGGAAUCUUGGUACCAAUAAUUGCAGAGGUAGAAGUCAGAGAAUGGCCUGUCCAGAAGACAGCCAAAUACAUCCUUCAAACAGACUUCACUGCAGGAGACAGAGUGGAUUCAUCCUGUAUUCUCCAUGUAGACUUCCAUCUUCAUGAGUACUCCAAGAAGAUGGUUCAGUUGACUAUUGCAAAGGUAAAAAUCCAAGAGAUACAGAUACAGAAUAGGACAGAGAGACAUAUUUUUAAGCUAUUGAUUACAAUUAUGGUAUGCCUAUAGAUUGCAGAACCGAGGAGAAAGGGAACAUUAUGAUUUACCAUCAAGAAAAACUUAGAAUUGGUGCUGAGUAGUUCAUUCUAAGAAUUACCAUUUAUCUGUAUUUGCCCCCAUUUUCAUUGUUACUAGGCCAAAAGUCAUUUCAUAAUUAAUAAGUUGGAUGUCAAAAUCAACUUGUGUUAUUAUAAAAUUAGCAAUCUACAUUAUGUGUUUCUUUACAUUUUUAUAGGAGUAUUUAUAAAUAUACCUAAGAAAACUGACAAUGUGGAGUACAAAUGUUGCAUUUUCAAAACUGGGAAUCUGUUUAUUGAGGCUCUAUUUUUAGUUAUGUAUGAUAAUAGACUGCAUUUCAGGUUUCAAACCUUGUAAAAAUAAUUUCCUUAUGAUAUGUUUACUCAUUUUGCAAAUAAUUAUUGUGUCAUAUAGCAAGAGAUUGUACUUCCAUUCAGCUGGUUAAAGUACAAAAUCAUUGAUAUGGUUUGGCUGUGUCCCCACCCAAAUCUCAACUUGAAUUGUACCUUCCAGAAUUCCCACAGGACCCAGGGGGAGGUAAUUGAAUCAAGGGGGCUGGUCUUUCCCAUGCUAUUCUUGUGAUAGUGAAUAAGUCUCACGAGAUCUGAUGGUUUUAUCAGGGGUUUCUGCUUUUGCUGCUUCUUCAUUUUUCUCUUGCUGCUGCCGUGUAAGAAAUGCCUUUCACCUCCUGCCAUGAUUCUGAGGCCUCCCCAGCCAGGUGGAACUAUAAGUCCAAUUAAACCUCUUUUUGUUCCCAGUCUCAGGUAUGUCUUUAUCAGCAGCAUGAAAAUGGACUAAUAGUACCAGUAGAGUGGGGCAUUGCUGAAAAGAUACCCGAAAAUGUGGAAGCAACUUUGGAACUGGGUGUUGAAAUAAUCUGGAGGGCUCAGAAGAAGAUAGGAAAAUGUAGGAAAGUUUGGAACCUCCUAGAGACUGUGAAUGGCAUUGACAAAAAUACUGAUAGUGAUAUGAACAAUAAGGUCCAGGCUGAGGUGGUCUCAGAUGGAGAUGAAGACCUUGUUGGGAACUGAAGUAAAGGUGACCCUUGUUAUGUUUUAGCAAGGAGACUGGCAGCAUUUCACCCUUGCCCUAGAGAUUUGUGGAACUUAGAGCUUGAGAGAGAUGACUUAGGGUAUCUGGUGGAAUAAAUUUCUAAGCAGCAAAGCAUUCAAAAGGUGACUUGGGUGCUGUUAAAAACAUUCUGUUUUAAAAGGGAAACAAGAGCAUAAAUGUGGAAAAUCUGCAGCCUGAUGAUGCAGUAGAAAAGAAAAACCCAUUUUUUUUAAGGAGAAAUUCAAGCUGGCUGCAGAAAUUUGCAUAAGCAGCAAGGAGCCUAAUGUUAAUCCCCAAGACCAUGGGGAAAAUGUCUCCAGGUCAUGUCAGAGACCUUCAUGGCAGCCCCUCCCAUCACAGGCCCAGAGGCCCAGGAGGAAAAAGUGGUUUUGUGGGCUGGGCCCAGGGUCUCUGUGCUGUGUGCAGCCUAGGGACUUGGUGCCCUGUGUCCCAGCUGCUCCAGCCAUGGCUGAAAGGAGCCAACAUAGAGCUUGGGCUGUGGCUUCAGAGGGUAGAGGCCCCAAGCAUUGGCAGCUUCCAUGUGAUGUUGAGCCUGUGGGUGCAGAGAUGUCAAGAAUUGAGAUUUGGGAACCUCUGCCUAGAUUUCAGAAUAUAUAUGGAAACACCUGGAUGUCCAGGCAAAAGUUUGCUGCAGGGGCAGAGCCCUCAUGGGGAACCUCUCCUAGGGCAGUGUGGAAGGGAAAUGUGGGGCAGAGCCCCCACACAGAGUCCCUGUUGGGGCACUGCCUAGUGGAGCUGUGAGAAGAAGGCCACAGUCCCAGAACGGUAGACCCCAGAAUGGUAGACCCCAGAAUGGUAGAUCAACCACCAACUUGCAUCUUGUGCCUGGAAAAGCUACAGACACUCAACAUCAGCCUGAGAAAGCAGCCAGGAGGGAGGCUGUACUCUGCAAAGCCACAGGGGCGGAGCUGCACAAGACCAUGGGAACCUAUCUCUUGCAUCAGCAUGACCUGAAUGUGAGACAUGGAGUCAAAGGAGAUCAUUAUGGAGCUUUAAAAUUUGACUGCCCCACUGGAUUUCAGACUUGCAUGGACCCUGUAACCCCUUUGUUUUGGCCAAUUUCUCUCAUUUGGAACAGCUGUAUUUACCCAAUACCUGUACCCCCCAUUGUAUCUAGGAGGUAACUAGCUUGCUUUUACAGGCUUGUAAGUGGAAGGGACUUGCCUUGUCUCAGAUGAGACUUUGGACUGUGGACUUUUGGGUUAAUGCUGAAAUGAGUUAAGACUUUGGGGAACUGUUGGGAAGGAAUGAUUGGUUUUGAAAUGUGAGGAUUAUGAAAUUUGGAGGAGCCCAGGGAGGAAUGAUAUGGUUUGGCUGUGUCCC
ensembl:lncRNA ENTPD1-AS1 ENTPD1 antisense RNA 1